GGGAAACGGGGGGGUGGGGGGGAAGGCGUGGGUCACCAGCAAAUGGUGCACCCGCUCCUGCCUGUCAUGCCCACGUCGCAGCCUCUUUGGGCUGUUUCAUCUUCAUCUUCUUUCACCCCAGAGGACAAAGAUUGAAGAGGGAUCCACCUGUCCUGGACGUGUAGGCACAGCGCAAUUGGUGGAUGCAGAAGGGAAACUGGCUCAGGACAAGCGUGGGCGCUCACCACAGAGCAAGGGUUGCUUCUAGUGAGUUCUGACUCCAGGAGUACGGGGAAGAUUGGCUUCUGAGCAGAGCACUGAAAUGGAGUGGCUGGACUGUUUAUCGACAGAGAAUGGCUGCCUGAGAGCCAAGAGGAAUUGUGGGUCCUGACCAGUGAAACUUGAGGGACACCCAUCGCUUGAUGGAGUGGCACCUUGUGAGGAGAGCAGAGAAACCCCCAGAGUGCCAGGACUGUGCUGACAUCCCGCAAAGCCAGCUGACGAUCCGGCACCUGCAACUGCGGAUGGUGUCUCUUCCUCAUCAGGAAGUCGAUCUGCAGCUCCUGGCAGGCUUGUCAAACAGACGCCCACGGGGCUCCUCACACAGCCAGGAGGAUCAGCAAGGGCGGGCACCCUGUCUGGUGAACGCCUCCUCACUUAUUAAGGAUCCACGUCUGAUCACUGGGGCUUGCCGGCAUGUUUGCACAUCUCUGUCAGGAGAGAUUGGGAAGUAACUCAACAAGAACGAAAGUGAUUACUCUAGGAGAGAAGAGUUCUGAGACGGGAAAUCUCCUGAGGCAAACCUAUCUGAGAACCCCAUGACUCCAGGAUGAGAUUAGAAGAAAUACUUCUCGAUCCACACUAGGAACACAGCAUCACCCUAAGAACAAACGAGGAGAAGACACUUCAGUAAAUGAAAGCAGCAAGCCCACAGCUCCCACUAACACAGAUCCAGACAGCCUCAACGACAAGCCACUCACAAACUGAAUCUAACGAUGCGUAAAAGGAAAAAUACACCAUGACUGAGUGGGAUGCAUGCCAGAUAAGAAAGGCAGUUCAACAUUCAGAAAUAAAUUCCUACAAUCCA